GAUGAAGAACGUAGCGAAAUGCGAUAAGUAGUGUGAAUUGCAGAAUUCAGUGAAUCAUCGAAUCUUUGAACGCACAUUGCGCCCUUUGGUAUUCCUUAGGGCAUGCCUGUUCGAGCGUCAUUUGAAACCUCAAGCUCAGCUUGGUGUUAGGUGUCUGUCCCCGCCUCACCGCGGGGACUCGCCUCAAAAUCAUUGGCGGCCGGUACGUUGGCUUCGAGCGCAGCAGAAACGCGAACUCGAGGCCCGGCGGAUCGGCGACCAGAAGUCACUUCUUCACAGUUUGACCUCGGAUCAGGUAGGGAUACCCGCUGAACUUAAGCAUAUCAAUAAGCGGAGGA
rnacentral:misc_RNA from 1 species